UACAGAGGUCUCAAGCGUUGUUCGGAUUCAUUGGGCGUAAAGGGUGCGUAGGUGGCGUCGUAAGUCAGGUGUGAAAUCUCGGGGCUCAACCCCGAAACUGCACUUGAUACUGCGAUGCUCGAGUACUGGAGAGGAGAUCGGAAUUUACGGUGUAGCAGUGAAGUGCGUAGAUAUCGUAAGGAAGACCAGUGGCGAAGGCGAAUCUCUGGACAGUUACUGACACUGAGGCACGAAGGCCAGGGGAGCAAACGGG
rnacentral:rRNA from 1 species